GCUCCCAACUUCCUGACACUAGAUGAGUCAGCAGACAUGAGUCCUGACUUCCAAGAGAUUUUAGAAUCUAAGCUGGAUAGUACAGACAGGUAUAAAAGAUGGAUGCUAUAGAUAAGCAGGGUGGCUUAGAUACCCAUAAAAUGCAAAAGGCACAGGUGUGUUGAAUAUUCAGAAGUCAAAGAAAUUACAUGUUUGGGAUUGAUGAGUCUUUAGGGCAGAAGCCAGCUGCAGAAGCCACUUUGAUGUUACCCAAGCCACAGCGCUAGAUAAGCCUCACAGUUGUCCAGGGGAAGGGUUUAGGAAUUGGGUCUUUUGUCCAAGUGACUUCGGUCUUAAGAAGAAAUAGUGUUGGGAGGGAACCUGUCUAGUAACAGAGCUAGCAAAUGUCCAGGCUGGUGAAGAUCCGCUGAGCAAGAGCCCUGGUGUGGGGAAAGGGAGGUCAGAGUACCAGGAACUGCUGAUGUCUGCUCUAAAGUACUUGAGUGGUGCUAAGCUGGGCCUUGCAGAGCUUAGCUUAUAGCAGACCUUGAGCCUCCUUGGUUACAGCAGGUUGUGGAUAAGUUACAUCGGGCUUCAUCAUCUAUACCUCCAUUUUUUCCUCCAGUUUUUAAUUUACUUUCGGAGUUUGUGUUGAUUUUGAUGGCACGUGACUUUUAAGCAGUAGGAUUUUGCCAAGCAGAAUUUUUGAAGGCAUGAGGCCAGUGACCCAAAGCACAGGUGCAAGUGUGCCUGGAAGGCUUCCAGCCAAAACCAGUAAUUCCCUGCUUUCUUGUAUACAGAGUGUUCACUGCUAUUUCAGAUCUUGGUGAGUGUUCCAGUAACCAAGCCAGUCCCCAGGACACUAGUCUACGUUGGCAGGACUUCACAAGUUAAUCAUUCCUUAGGCCUCCCUUGGCCCUUUCAUCCUGGAUUCUUAGGUGGGAAUCAGACACUUAGAAAGAUGUUGGGUCAAGGUUCUAGGAGCAGGACAGAGUGUUCCUGUCAUAGUACACACUAAGUUUCCCACUAGCAGAGUCCUCGCCAUGUCAUUUCUACCUCCAAAGUCAUCAGAGCCUGCUUGUCCACAUCUGGUCCAGGUGGGAGUACAAGGAAGGCUGCUUCUACACCCAUGAGCACAAAUACGUCUGUGUGGGACAGUCCACUGAACGUCGUCAUUUAGUCCAGCCCAUUGCAGGCAUUCCUGGAACAGGUGAGAGGGUUUCUACUUCCCAUGAAGUAUAUAGGCUUACACUCAUCACCUCGUAAACAAGAACGGGCACAUUUCAGGUGGCUUAUUUUGUGGGGGAGGGUGCUGGAAGGGGUUGGUGGUGAUUGUGGGUGUCUAAACUGGAAUUCUUUUGUCCAUGUUAAAAAGACUUGAAAACUGAAACGUCACGGUACAGUGUUAAUUCACGCCUGUGUGUGUAACAGGACACUCAGCAAUUAUCUUAAGAACACACAGCAGCAUUGACGUGUAGAAAGAGAAUAGUAAAUGCCUUUGGGAACACGGUUGAGAGCCAGCCAGGACGCAAGGGGAGCAAUGAAUGUCUGUGUCUGAUAUGCUCCUCCCAGGUUGGUGUCCCACUGGACAGGUCACAAUGCAGGCUGCCUGCUUUGCCUCCUCCUGUGUUUCCCUGCUCCAGGGCCACUUCCAGGGAUUACAUGGAGGAUCACCGAUGUCUUUUCUCAUGCCCACCAGAUAUCAAGUACUCAUGACUUGACUCCCAAAUGCGCCGUUACAGGGCUAAGUUAAAGCCAGACUUUAAAGUUCUGUCACGGUGGUAAGGAAAGAAACAGGAGGUGCUAGAGGAACCAAGAGUUCUGGUCAUUAACUCAGUCAUGCCGAGCACCAGGGCGCUGGUUCUGAAACGGUUAAGAGAAAGGCUCUGGGCUUUGCUCCCAUCUCUGCACAGCGCACUGUGGAGCAGAGAGGAGGGAGACAGGAGUAGGGUUAUCAGGGAAGCUUGCUCUGCCAGGCUGCUCCAGGAUGCCAGCUUGUCUCUGACUCGGUUGAGGUCCAUGCUCUGACUUUCUGCACCCUCGUGCUAGGCGAUUCGUGUUACUAUACAAAACCGCAGAAGGAAUUGGGCCACCUGUGGCAUCAAGACUGCAACUUGACAAUCACGGUUUGCUGAUCUCAAACGGGCACUUAAAGCCUGGUAUGGGUGUGUGAUUUAGUGACUGAGCCUGCCCUUCUGUUUGUCAGUUACGUUUCUACCCUUCAAUUAGCUGCACUGUUUUCUAAUGUGCUGUAGAGUUUGGAAAUAAUUUAUGCAAGUGUUUGGUUCCCAUGUUUACAAUUUUUACAGCUUUCCUAGGAUUUUAAAAUGGAAAUGUCAAUAAAUGCUACGAAUCGGUGUGG
rnacentral:lncRNA from 1 species